GACGAACGCUGGCGGCGUGCUUAACACAUGCAAGUCGAACGGAAAGGCCUGCUUUCCCUUGUGGAUUGCGGGUACUCGAGUGGCGAACGGGUGAGUAACACGUGAGUGAUCUGCCCCCAACUUGGGUAUAAGCCUGGGAAACUGGGUCUAAUUCCCGAUAGGACUGCAGGGUGGUGCCUGUGGUGGAAAACGAUUUUCUAGUGGUUGGGGAUGAGCUCGCGGCCUAUCAGCUUGUUGGUGGGGUAAUGGCCUACCAAGGCGGCGACGGGUAGCCGGCCUGAGAGGGUGGACGGCGACAUUGGGACUGAGAUACGACCCAGACUCGUACGGGAGGCAGCAGUGGGGAAUAUUGGACAAUGGGCGGAAGCCUGAUGCAGCGACGGCGCGUGGGGGAUGACGGCGUUCGGGUUGUAAACUCCUUUGGACCGAGAGGAAGCCACCUGGUUGGAAGGGUGGUGACGGUAGUGGUAGAAGAAGCACCGGCUAACUACGUG
rnacentral:rRNA from 1 species